GAACCUUACCAGGUCUUGACAUCCUUUGACCACUCUAGAGAUAGAGCUUUCCCUUCGGGGACAAAGUGACAGGUGGUGCAUGGUUGUCGUCAGCUCGUGUCGUGAGAUGUUGGGUUAAGUCCCGCAACGAGCGCAACCCUUAUUGUUAGUUGCCAUCAUUUAGUUGGGCACUCUAGCGAGACUGCCGGUGACAAACCGGAGGAAGGUGGGGAUGACGUCAAAUCAUCAUGCCCCUUAUGACCUGGGCUACACACGUGCUACAAUGGGAAGUACAACGAGUCGCUAGACCGCGAGGUCAUGCAAAUCUCUUAAAGCUUCUCUCAGUUCGGAUUGCAGGCUGCAACUCGCCUGCAUGAAGCCGGAAUCGCUAGUAAUCGCGGAUCAGCACGCCGCGGUGAAUACGUUCCCGGGCCUUGUACACACCGCCCGUCACACCACGAGAGUUUGUAACACCCGAAGUCGGUGAGGUAACCUUUUUGGAGCCAGCCGCCUAAGGUGGGAUAGAUGAUUGGGGUGAAGUCGUAACAAGGUAGCCGUAUCGGAAGGUGCGGCUGGAUCACCUCCUUUCUAAGGAA
rnacentral:rRNA from 1 species